rnacentral:rRNA from 1 species
AUUGAACGCUGGCGGCAUGCCUUACACAUGCAAGUCGAACGGCAGCACGGGAGCAAUCCUGGUGGCGAGUGGCGAACGGGUGAGUAAUAUAUCGGAACGUGCCCAGUCGUGGGGAUAACGUAGCGAAAGCUACGCUAAUACCGCAUACGAUCUAUGGAUGAAAGCGGGGGAUCGCAAGACCUCGCGCGAUUGGAGCGGCCGAUAUCAGAUUAGGUAGUUGGUGAGGUAAAGGCUCACCAAGCCGACGAUCUGUAGCUGGUCUGAGAGGACGACCAGCCACACUGGGACUGAGACACGGCCCAGACUCCUACGGGAGGCAGCAGUGGGGAAUAUUGGACAAUGGGCGAAAGCCUAAUCCAGCAAUGCCGCGUGAGUGAUGAAGGCCUUAGGGUUGUAAAGCUCUUUUUACCAGGGAUGAUAAUGACAGUACCUGGAGAAUAAGCUCCGGCUAACUCCGUGCCAGCAGCCGCGGUAAAG